rnacentral:rRNA from 1 species
GUCGCACGGGUGAUGUAACACGUGACUAACUACCCUGGUAGUUGGGAAUAACUUGAGGGAAACCUUAGCUAAGUACCUGUCAUAAUACCUACGGGUCAAAGGAGCAAUUCGUUCCAGGAAAGGGGGUCGCGGCCGAUUAGUUAGUUGGCUGGGGUAAUGGCCCACCAAGACAGUGAUCUGGUAUCCGUGCCUGAGAGGGCGCACGGACACACUGGAACUGAAACACGGUCCAGACUCCUACGGGAGGCAGCAGUGGAGAAUUUUUCUCAAUGGGCGAAAGCCUGAAGGAGCGA